rnacentral:rRNA from 1 species
CCAGCAGCCGCGGUAAUACGGAGGGUGCAAGCGUUAUCCGGAUUUACUGGGUUUAAAGGGCGCGUAGGCGGACAUUUAAGUCAGGGGUGAAAUCCCAGGGCUCAACCCUGGAACUGCCUUUGAUACUGGGUGUCUUGAGUACGGGAGAGGUGUGUGGAACUCCGAGUGUAGAGGUGAAAUUCGUAGAUAUUCGGAAGAACACCAGUGGCGAAGGCGACACACUGGCCCGUUACUGACGCUGAGGCGCGAAAGCGUGGGGAGC